rnacentral:snRNA from 1 species
GUGCUUACUUCAGCAGCACACAUGCUAAAAAAUUGAAACUAUGCAGAGCAGAUUAGCAUGGCCCCUG